ACAAAGCCCCCCCCAGCCCCCCCAGGACAGAGCAGCCGGAAAGAACCAGUUCUCCAGGGCUAGGGCCCAGAUCCGGCAAAGAAGGUUGAGGCACAGCCCAGCGACUGUCUUGGGGUCCCCCCUUUUCCAGGAGCCACAAACAGGAUGCUGGAGUUUUUGAAAGGACAUGCCUAACCCCAGGGAAGGGGAGGGCAGGUUCAAGUUAGGAGAAUGUUGGAUUCCAAAGGAGAACACCCCAACAACUACAAGCACCCUCCCUCCCUCCCGCCCGCCCCCCAACUGAACCAAUCAGCAACAGUCACAUGUCUCACUGGAAUCCAAGAAAACUCGCUGGUGGUCGUAGAGGAAUCUGGAUUUGGGUUCAAGUACCAAGAUGGCACUAAGCAUGUGGCUAGAAGGCCUCCCCCCUCCCCUUGUCCUGCUCAGCUCCUGCUCACAGCCGGGACACUAGACAGCCUCUCUGGCCCAAGGGACCCGAUUAUACCACAGCCUGUGCUCUGGCCCUCAGAGAAGGGCACCUGCCCGGUGGGGCCAAGUACAUGAGGCUCAGGGGGAAGCUCGGGCCGCCCUCCGGCACUGCCCAAAGUCAUCUCGGAGCUUCCCCUGCCCACCCUCGGGUGCCAGGCCUUGAGGAAUCUCCCCCGACAGACUAGGAGCCCUUGGAAGGCAGUGACUGUGUCCUGUGCGCUUACUGAGCACAGCUGUGGGGGGAGAGCGGCUCCCCCGGCCCCGCAUCACCGCACCGCCAGGGUACCUGCGCCUCUGCGCCGGCGAACGACGAUGGCGGCAAGAGAGAAUUUUUGAAAGCCGGCAGUUUCUUUCCUGUGAUCUGAUUUGCUCAGGGCCUCUUCGCCGGCCGUCUUUUCCGCUCACGCGCAAGAUUCCCUCUCGUUCCCGCGAGAUCGCUGACGAUUGGUCCCGCUUGAAGUCCGGGCAAGAAAACUACCAUUCACAGCGGCCGACUGUCAACAACUUUAUUGAGAGACUUAACGGACAAAAUCAAAACCUUGGGGUUCCCUCUGGUGGUUGACGCUCAACCUCUUGUGUUCCUUAAAACGAGAAUGAGCUCUGUUCUAGAUCUUCUGCUGAGAAGGGUUACCCGGAGCCGGGAAGACCGGGCAACCCGGGGAACGCACUGUUCCAGGCGUGGCCAGGAAAAGCGAGAGGAGCCGGAUUGAAAAGUGCCUCCCAAUCGAUAAGAGAAUGGCGAAUGAAAAGCACCCUGAGCCUCCAUCUUAUAUCAUCCACACUAGAGAUGGCAAGACAAAAUGGCGAUUGUGGGAGAAACUGAGGGAGGAGGCAUGCCAGUACGUAGUUGGUGGAGCUGUGGUCCGAUGUUCAGAAUCCAGUUACAACCCCCACCCCAUCCCCAGGCCUCAGGGCAUGUGCUUUUUGCGUCAGCCAUUCCAGGGCUACAUAACUAGAGCAAGGAGACCAAAGAACAGAGUUCAGCAAAAGAGAAAAAAGUGCUGGACAUUGUUGUAAGAACUGAGGAGUGUGAAAGGUUCUGAGGAGUUGGAGAAUUCUUGUGCCAGCUUCUACAAUGACAACCCUGAUGUAAGGGGGAGGGGGCUUUGAAAAACCGGCAGAAUUCUGAUCAGCAGCACCCACUAAUUCUGACUUCAGAGGGGUCCAUCACUGACCAGGAAACCUGCCCGAUUCCCUUGGUGUGAUGGACAGGGAUGGGGGGGGGGGGGGGGGACAAGAGAGCUGCCUGGUGGCCAACUGUGGCCAAUCAGUGGUUUUUAUUUCCUUGACCACGUCUUUCUUUUGAUGGCCAAGAGAUACUGACAGAUGUAAAAGGAAAGUGCUUCUAGUAUGGCUGAGGCCGAAGAGGGGACCAGGCAAUUUUGUUACUCUUUUGUUAGAGUUGAUACACCUUGAAAAAACAGAACAAACUACACAUAACUCCAGCCCCUUUCCAUCUCCCAUGCUCUCUGGGGAGCUCCUUUGUAUAGUGGAAUGACUCCACUCCUGAUUUUUUAAAUGACUUUUAUUCAGACAGAGCCUUCCUGUGUUCCAGGCACUGGAACAGACACUGGAAAAACCAGAGGAGACAAAAAGAAAAAAAAAGGGAAUAUAGUACUUGCCCUCAAGGAGCUUCCAUUCUGGGAGGGGAAGGGCGGAACAGCACCAACACCCAAAAUACAACAAAAUAUAUGCAAUGUACAUCCCAAAUAA